rnacentral:tRNA from 1 species
ACNCUUGUAGCUCAGGUGGUUAGAGCGCACCCCUGAUAAGGGUGAGGUCGGUGGUUCAAGUCCACUCAGGCCUACCA